rnacentral:rRNA from 1 species
GUAGAGUCUUUUUCUUAUGGGGGGCAGGCCAACAUCGGUUUGUGUUGGGGGCUAAGAGUAGCGGAAACGUAGAUCGUUUUCGGGCGAUUGUAAUAGUGCGGCACUCAUUACCCCAACCCAGAUCGAGGAACGCGUUUUGGGACGGAGAUGGGGCGUAAUGGUCGUUGGCGACCCGUCGUGAACCACGGACCAAGGAGUCGAGGUUUUCCGAGAGUGUGUGGGUGGUAGACCCGCCCGCGAAAUGAAAGGAACGCAGGUGAGAGCCUUUUUCGGGCGCUCCAUCGACCGUUCCAAUGUCUCGGAUGGAUUUGAGUAUGAGGGAGGGCCUGGGACCCGAAAGAUGGUGAACUAUGCCUGAAUAGAGUGAAGCCAGAGGAAACUCUGGUGGAGGCUCGCAGCGGUUCUGACGUGCAAAUCGAUCGUCAAAUGUGGGCAUAGGGGCGAAAAGAACCUUG